rnacentral:rRNA from 1 species
AUGAACGCUGGCGGCGUGCCUAAUACAUGCAAGUCGAGCGAACAGACGAGGAGCUUGCUCCUCUGACGUUAGCGGCGGACGGGUGAGUAACACGUGGAUAACCUACCUAUAAGACUGGGAUAACUUCGGGAAACCGGAGCUAAUACCGGAUAAUAUAUUGAACCGCAUGGUUCAAUAGUGAAAGACGGGUUUGCUGUCACUUAUAGAUGGAUCCGCGCCGCAUUAGCUAGUUGGUAAGGUAACGGCUUACCAAGGCAACGAUGCGUAGCCGACCUGAGAGGCUGAUCGGCCACACUGGAACUGAGACACGGUCCAGACUCCUACGGGAGGCAGCAGUAGGGAAUCUUCCGCAAUGGGCGAAAGCCUGACGGAGCAACGCCGCGUGAGUGAUGAAGGUCUUCGGAUCGUAAAACUCUGUUAUUAGGGAAGAACAAAUGUGUAAUUAACUAUGCACGUCUUGACGGUACCUAAUCAGAAAGCCCCGGCUAACUACGUG